CCCCCGAGAUUCCCCGCGCUUGCCUCCCGCCGUCUCCUUCCAGGCCCUCGGUCUGUCCGCUGGGGGCGCGCGCAGCGUGUGGCAGGCGGCAGCGGCGCUGGCGGCCGAGUGCGCGGGUCACGCGUGGCGGUGCGUGGUUGCUAGGGGCGCCUGAGGCUGCCGGGUAGCCCAGCAAGGCCGAGAGAGGAAGUAGCGUGGAGCCGGUGCCGAGCCGGGGCGAAGCUGGAUCCCCUAGACUGACAGACUUCAAGGAUGCAGCUGCUACUACCGGAGGUGUGUGGCAUCUUACCUCAGCAAGGCCAUGAGACCGUGUGGCCAUGAUGUGGGCCCCUCAUGGCCUCAGCAGGAACACAGCACUAUAGUAUUGGCCUCCGCCAGAAAAACAGCUUCAAGCAGAGUGGUCCCUCAGGCACAGUGCCUGCCACGCCACCUGAGAAACCCUCGGAGGGCAGAGUCUGGCCUCAGGCCCAUCAGCAAGUGAAGCCAAUCUGGAAGCUGGAAAAGAAGCAAGUGGAGACACUGUCAGCAGGGUUGGGCCCAGGCCUCUUGGGUGUCCCACCCCAGCCAGCAUAUUUCUUUUGCCCCAGCACUUUAUGUAGCUCUGGGACCACGGCUGUCAUUGCAGGCCACAGCAGUUCCUGUUACCUACACUCUCUCCCGGACUUGUUCAACAGCACCCUGCUAUACUGCCGCUCCAGCUAUAGGCACAAACCAUACCAGCAACUGGAGUCUUUCUGCUUGCGUUCGAGCCCAUCAGAAAAAAGCUCUUUUUCUCUCCCUCAAAAGAGCCUCCCUGUCAGUCUCUCUGCCAACAAGGCCACUUCUUCCAUGGUCUUCCCCAUGGCCCAGCCCGUGGCCUCCUCAUCCACAGAACCAUACUUCUGCUUGGCAGCGGCUGGGGAAAACCUUUCAGGGAAGAGCCUGGCCUCUGCCAUCUCAGGGAAGACCCCAUCUCCACUCUCUUCCUCCUAUAAGCCCAUGCUGAAUAAUAAUUCCUUCAUGCGGCCAAAUAGCACGCAAGUGCCUUUAUUGCAGACCACACAGGGCCUGAAGCCAGUAUCGCCACCCAAGAUCCAGCCUGUCUCCUGGCAUCAUUCAGGGGGUACUGGAGACUGUGCACUGCAGCCUGUUGACCAUAAGGUGCCCAAAAGCAUUGACACUGUCCUAGCUGAUGCCAGUGCCCAUAUCGCCUUGUCUACCGCUGGCUCCCACGACACAUCCACCACCAGUGUUGCCUCUUCCUGGUAUAACCGGAAUAACUUAGCCAUGAGGGCAGAGCCACUUUCCUGUGCUCUGGAUGACAACUCUGAUUCCCAGGAUCCAACUAAGGAGAUUCGGUUCACUGAGGCCGUGAGGAAAUUGACUGCAAGAGGCUUUGAGAAGAUGCCGAGGCAAGGCUGCCAGCUUGAACAGUCUAGUUUCCUGAACCCCAGCUUCCAGUGGAAUGUCCUCAACAGGAGCAGGCGGUGGAAACCUCCUGCGAUAAAUCAGCAGUUUCCUCAGGAGGAUGCUGGAUCGGUUGGUCGGGUCCUCCCUGGUGCCUCAGAUACCUUGGGGUUGGACAAUACAGUCUUCUGUACCAAACGUAUCAGCAUUCACCUCCUUGCCUCACAUGCCAGUGGGCUCAAUCACAGCCCUGCCUGUGAAUCUGUAAUUGACUCCCCAGCAUUUGGAGAAGGCAAAGCUUCAGGUCCCCCUUCUCCUCAAACUCUUGGCAUAGCCAACGUGGCCACCCGCCUCUCUUCCAUCCAGCUGGGCCAGUCUGAGAAGGAGAGACCUGAGGAGGCCAGGGAGCUGGACUCAUCUGAUAGGGAUGUUAGUUCAGCUACUGACCUCCAGCCAGAUCAGGCUGAGACUGAAGAUACAGAAGAAGAACUAGUAGAUGGUUUGGAAGACUGUUGUAGCCGUGAUGAGAAUGAAGAGGAGGAGGGAGACUCAGAGUGCUCCACAUUAAGUGCUGUCUCCCCAAGCGAAUCGGUGGCCAUGAUCUCUAGAAGCUGUAUGGAAAUUCUGACCAAACCCCUUUCCAAUCAUGAGAAAGUUGUCCGACCAGCCCUCAUCUACAGUCUCUUUCCCAACGUUCCCCCUACCAUCUAUUUUGGCACUCGGGAUGAGAGAGUGGAGAAACUUCCCUGGGAGCAGAGGAAAUUGCUCCGGUGGAAGAUGAGCACAGUGACCCCCAACAUUGUCAAGCAGACCAUUGGACGGUCCCACUUCAAAAUCAGCAAAAGAAACGAUGACUGGCUGGGCUGCUGGGGUCACCACAUGAAGUCUCCUAGUUUCCGAUCUAUUCGAGAGCAUCAGAAGCUAAACCAUUUCCCAGGCUCAUUCCAGAUUGGGAGGAAGGACCGGCUAUGGCGGAACCUGUCACGCAUGCAGAGCCGCUUUGGCAAGAAGGAGUUCAGUUUCUUCCCCCAGUCCUUUAUCCUGCCCCAGGACGCCAAGCUCCUGCGCAAAGCGUGGGAGAGCAGCAGCCGCCAAAAGUGGAUUGUGAAGCCACCAGCAUCAGCUCGAGGCAUUGGCAUCCAGGUUAUUCACAAGUGGAGUCAGCUCCCCAAGCGAAGGCCCCUCCUGGUACAGAGGUAUCUACACAAACCCUACCUCAUCAGCGGCAGCAAAUUUGAUCUGCGGAUCUACGUUUACGUCACUUCCUAUGAUCCUCUGCGGAUUUACCUCUUUUCAGAUGGACUGGUCCGCUUUGCCAGUUGCAAGUAUUCUCCUUCCAUGAAGAGCCUUGGCAAUAAGUUCAUGCAUCUGACCAACUACAGUGUCAAUAAAAAGAAUGCCGAGUACCAGGCCAAUGCAGAUGAAAUGGCUUGCCAGGGCCACAAAUGGGCACUGAAGGCUUUGUGGAACUACCUGAGCCAGAAGGGAGUCAAUAGUGAUGCCAUCUGGGAGAAGAUAAAGGAUGUUGUUGUCAAAACCAUCAUCUCGUCAGAGCCCUAUGUGACCAGCCUGCUCAAGAUGUAUGUGCGGCGGCCCUAUAGCUGCCAUGAACUCUUUGGUUUUGACAUCAUGCUAGACGAAAACCUCAAGCCCUGGGUCCUGGAAGUCAACAUUUCCCCAAGCCUCCACUCCAACUCUCCACUGGAUAUCAGCAUCAAAGGCCAGAUGAUUCGUGACCUUCUGAAUCUGGCAGGUUUUGUCCUGCCCAAUGCAGAGGAUAUCAUUUCCAGCCCCAGCAGCUGCAGCAGCUCCACCACCAGCCUCUGCCGUAGCCUGCCCACCUCCCCCGGGGACAAAUGUCGAAUGGCUCCAGAGCAUGUCACUGCACAGAAGAUGAAGAAGGCCUAUUAUCUGACCCAGAAAAUUCCUGAUCAGGACUUCUAUGCAUCUGUGCUGGAUGUCCUGACACCAGAUGAUGUCCGGAUUCUGGUUGAGAUGGAAGAUGAGUUUUCUCGCCGUGGUCAGUUUGAACGAAUUUUUCCUUCUCAUAUCUCCUCUCGCUAUCUCCGCUUUUUUGAGCAGCCACGAUAUUUCAACAUUCUCACCACCCAAUGGGAACAGAAAUACCAUGGCAACAAGCUUAAAGGAGUAGAUCUGCUCCGGAGUUGGUGCUACAAAGGGUUCCACGUGGGAGUUGUCUCUGAUUCUGCUCCAGUGUGGUCUCUCCCGACAUCACUUCUGACUAUCUCAAAGGAUGACGUGAUACUCAAUGCCUUCAGCAAAUCAGAGACUAGCAAGCUGGGGUGAGUGCUGCCUGGGCAAGGGAGGGGCUGCUGGCUGUGAGUUUGUAGAGUUUUCUUCCUUCCCCUCUUCCCAGACUGUGGCAGUGAGAUCAGCAUUCUCCAGCUGGGCGUUGGUGGGAGCCUCAGGACAUGCAGCCAUAGCAUCCUUUUUCUGGUAGAUCUCGGUAUGCCCAGGGAAGCUGAGCUGGAGGACAGAAGUGCUUCCUGAAGCAGCCACUGUCAGCCAUACCCACUAGCUGUGGGAAGUUGUUAGCCCUCUACCCGCACCCCCAUUCACUCUUGCACUGCAGGUCUCAAGCCUUCAAGUAAACAGAACUUUUUUAUGGUUAUUACGUAUCCAUGUAAUUUUGGCCUACAACACCGUAAUGUCGUGAAUGCCUGCUCCAGACUGAAGGCAAAUCCUAAGAAACCCAGUUCCUCAAAGGAUAGUGAGGACACCAGCAAAGAGCCCAGCCUUUCUACCCAGACGUUACCUGUGAUCAAGUACUCUGGGCGGACUUCAAGACUUUCUACUUCCUCCACUUUCCAGUCAACCAGUGACUCCCUCCUGGCUGUGAGCCCGUAACUGGCCUCUCUCCAGAAGCCUCUGCCCAGGAGCAUGGGCAUCAGCUACCUCACGGGAACCAGCCUGCUGUUCAGACCAGUCUGAGCCCCUACCCCUUUCACCCUGUCCCUCUUCAGAGUAUUUUUUGAAGUGGUUGCAUUAUAGAGAUGGGUAUUUGUAGGGCUGGAGGGAUGGUAGUGAUGGGGAGAAGGUGAGGAAGGGUCACCCUCUGUCACCUGUCUGCCUGGCUGGCACCUCAUAUCUCAGCAGAGAAGCCAGUGGUGGCCACGCAGCCUUAUAAAGCAGGUUUUGGUUUCUAC